UGCAGGACAUCCAUGAUAUUAGCCAGUCUCAUUGGCUACAGAGGACGCUUUAUCAACCAGGGGUGGCACGGUACAUGAAAAAACACCCGAACUGUUCGGUUUGUGUGUGCGUCGCACGGUUCGACGCAUGCGCAAUGUAGCCCCGUGCUCAGACAGUUCCCCCCUCAGACAGUUUCGCGCAAACAUACAUAUGGACAGUAAAAGUGGAGUAAGAAGUGCUGCAGAAAUGGCAAGUGGAAGAGAUAAUGAAGGCUGCCUGGAGUUGGCGGAUGCGCCCGCGUCUUUCAAAUCCGGUGUGUGGGGAACAUUUUGGAUUUCAUGUUACUUACGUUGACAACAGAAAUAAAAUAGCAGAUAGAACUGCAACUGUGUGCAAGCAUUGUGCAAAAUGCAUUCAAUAUGCUAAUGGCAACACUUCUAAGAUGACAGUUCAUUUGAGAAGACAUCACGCCAAUGUGUCGAUAAGCACAAACAGAAGAGAGCCGGUUAGGAAACAACUUUAAGCAGCUUUAAUGGUUUAACAACCUCUCAGUGAUAAGUCGGACAGGGCAAUAGCCAUAACUAAAGCAUUGGGGAUGUUUAUAGCAAAAGAUAUGCAACCGUGCAGCGUUAUUGAGUGUGAAGGAUUUCGUCAGCUUAUGAACGUACUUGAGCCGCGGUAUAAUAUUCCCUCUCGUCGACACUUCCGCACCACUGUAAUUCCAAAGCUGUAUGACGAGACACGAGGAGAAAUUGAAAACAAAUUGUCCGACACAGCCCACGUAGCUCUCACUACAGAUGGAUGGACCUCCAGGGCCACUGAAAGUUUUGUCGCAGUGACCGCUCACUAUAUUACUUCGGAGUGGGAAAUGAGAAGCUCUGCUUUGCAAACACGCCCCAUUUAUGAAAGUCAUACCAGUGAGCAUCUCUCUGAAAUGCUGACAGACGCGGUGGCUGAAUCGAUACUGGAGAGGGUAAAUAGCAUAACUCCUGUUACCUAAGAUAAAGUGAAUGCUAUCGAUUUAGCAGCAGGACUUGUGCCACAGAUCGGUGCUUAACACACACAGUUAACCUUGCAGCCAAGAGUGCAAUCUCACUAAACCAAAUAUCCCGACUCUUGGGGAAGGUUAGGAAGGCGGUUAGCAUUGUUAACUGAAAGUGAGACAAAACUCGCAGAGGGUCUCAUUAAUAUUCUCAAACCUCUGAAGAAUGUAAUCACCCUCAUGAGCACAGAAACAUCCCCCUCAGUUUCAAUGAUUAUCCCAUUGCGGAAGAUGAUAGUGAAAUCCAUAAAAACCCGGGGGCAGAGGAAAGUACCACCAUCAAAGAAGCCAAGGCAGCCAUCACUAAAGACCUUAAAGGUAGAUACAAUGAUCCUGGUGUUCAGAAUUAUCUGCACAGAGCCACAGUACUUGAUACAAGAUUCAAGUCCCUGCCUUACCUGGAAGAAGCCUGUGUUCAGAAAAUCUACGAUGAUCUAACCACGGACAUUGAAAAGCAGGGUCAAAGCAGUAAAGCCCAAGCGGCCAGUUCAUCCUCGCGGAGCCAGGGCCAUCAGAGACAUCUCCCUCCUCAGAAAAAUUCUGCCAUGGCAAUGGUAUUUGCAGAUUUUUAUAAAACAGAGGAAAGAAGAUCAAAGCCUUUGUCGUACAUCAUUCAUGAAGAGGUCACCUCAUACAAGGCCACAGGCUUCAUCUCUGUGGAUGAAGACCCACUCGCAUGGUGGAAGAGCAAUGAGCAUAAGUAUCCUCACACUGCUAAGUUAGCCCAACGUAACCUCGCUCUCAAAGGUACAUCUGUGCCAAGUGAACAUGUUUUCUCAACGGCUGGGGACAUAGUCACUGCGAGUAGGUCUCGCCUCUUGGCAGAAAAUGUGGACAAACUGAUAUUCUUGCAUAAGAAUAUGAAAAUUAAGUGAACAGAGGAGUGUUUUUUAAAUGCAACAUUUUAAAGCAAUUUUAAAAGCCAGCAUUUUUGUUUUUAAUAUUGAAAUAUAUACAGUGGCAUUUUAAUGUCUAGUUUCCAAAUACUGCACUUUAAUUUAUGGCCUUUGCUAUUGUUAUACCCUCAUUAUAUUAUGUUAUGACAUUAUAUUAUUGUGAGAAUUUGGGUUUGCCUGUGUCCCAAAUAUUAUGUGAAAUGCAUUGUAAUGAUUAUUGUACAUGAACUAUGUCUAACCUUACUUGAGUUUAAGUGCUUACCAAGCUAGCCGAAUGUUCAGAACAUCGUGCUGCCUUUUGCUAAAAAUACAAAUGUACUUCUAAGAAUUUCUAAGAACAAGGAACUAACUCACGUGAAUGAUAUGAAUAUAGGUCUGGUAUGUGUCCAUUACAAUGACAUAUUUACCUUCUUUUUAUGAAUAUAAGAAUUGGUC